rnacentral:rRNA from 1 species
AUACGAACCGUCCAAACGUUAUUCGGAAUCACUGGGCUUACAGAGUUCGUAGGCGGCGGAGAAAGUAGGGUGUGAAAGCCCUCGGCCUAACCGAGGAAUUGCGCCCUAAACUACUUCGCUCGAGGAGGCUAGAGGUGAGCAGAACUGAUGGUGGAGCGGUGAAAUGCGUUGAUAUCAUCAGGAAUACCGGAGGCGAAAGCGGCUCACUGGGACCUUUCUGACGCUGAGGAACGAAAGCUAGGGGAGCGAACG